UCACAAGCGCAGCUUUAACGUAAUCAAACACAAACUCUCAUUUUGUCAUUUUCCGUAUUCAGCUCGGGCUAAAUGUUGCCUCUCCUCCACCUCCGACGGUGAGCCCGAGCAGGAGCAAAAGCCGUAAUCCGGCGACCGGCGGCAAGGCUUAUUUGAGGAAUUUGAGGGAUUUUUUCUGUGAAAUUAUUGUCAUCUCCCUGCUCCUUCUCGUACCGGCGAGCUCUCAUCUCCCUCCUCCUUCUCCACCGGCGACCUCUCAUCUCUUGGAGUCAAUGGAGGUUUUUCCAAGCAACUGGACAUUGUUCUUGAGAUUUAAAUUUCCACCGAAUUCUGGGAAAAGAAUUUGGAAACCAGGGAUUUCCUUGAAGCAGCCAAGGAGUGUGUCAGCAUUUGCCAUUCGAAAGGAGUUCCUAUCUUGAAAAAUAACAGAGUUGAUGUAGCUCUGGCUUCUGAUGCGGAUGGCGUGCAUGUUGGCCAGUCUGACAUGCCAGUAUCUCUUGUGAUCGACUUGCAUAUUUCGUUGGUGCAAAUUUCACGCCUCAUGUGAUCACUGUAAAUGCAGGGGAGUGGAUACAUGGCACCUGAAUACGUAACAGCGGGACAUAUUUCAGUGAAGUCUGAUAUUUUCAGCUACGGUGUCAUGCUUUUAUAGAUUGUGAGUGGUUUGAGGAAUAGUUACUCAGAUCCAGAUAUCAGUCAGGACGAGAAUCUUCUACAUUAUCAAUCAGGUUUUGACGUCUUCGCGAGCAGAUAGUAGCCGAAACAAUCCCAUUGGCUACUGCACAGCUGCACUGUCUACCCUCAAUUCUUAUUGGUCAGUUUCCUUAACAGUUUAGGACCUUACAGAAAAAAGAAGGCCAUGGUUUCCACAACAUCAAGGGAGAGGCCCUUCACCAAAGAGGAGUUGGAUGAAGUUCGAGACAAGUGGGCUACUUACUUCAACGAUUGUGAAUUACCCUCAGUGUAAUAAUUAGAGCAGGCUUGUAGUUAUCCGUGACUUUUACAUUAUUUUGUUAUUUAUCGAUUUAAUUAAUUGCAUUUGAAUUAAUUCG